AUGGCCACAUCAUAUUGAAACACCAGUUUCUAUAUGAUCACCAAAGUUAAGCAAUAUUAAGUCUGGUCAUCACCUAGAUGGGUGACCACUUGGGAAUACCAGGUGCAGUAAG